rnacentral:rRNA from 1 species
UACGUAGGGGGCAAGCGUUGUCCGGAAUCAUUGGGCGUAAAGCGCGUGUAGGCGGCCAGGUAAGUCCGUUCUGAAAAGCCCGGGCUCAACCCCGGGAGGCGGAUGGAUACUGCUUGGCUCGAGUCCGGGAAGAGGCGAGUUGGAAUUCCCGGUGGUAGCGGUGAAAUGCGGCAGAGUAUCGGGAAGGAACACCAAUGGCGAAGGC